CAAUUGAUGCUGCUUUUGGCCUCUGGCCGUUGACUCGAUCCUGGCGCACCUUCCCCGGUGCCAGGCUCUCCAACGGCCAGGGACUAAAGGCAGUAACAAGAUCUGA
rfam:Marine metagenome ctg_1101668137697, whole genome shotgun sequence.